CGGGCGGGAGGCCGCUGCAGGCACUUCGGCUACUCUAUCACCUAUUUCUUUUUAUGUUUUGAGUCAGUCCCUCAGACGGUCCAGUUUGUUAACUUCCUGCUGGCUCCGCACUGAACCCAGCCUUUGAAUGGGAGACUGAGUCAGAGCAGCCUCAAACAUCCCCCUAAGGCGAGAGUCGCUGCGCAUGAAAGGACCUUUCAGAGCCUUCCAUUUCCCGGCUGAGUCUUUGAACCAGGAGUGAGCCACAGGUUGCAGGCCAGCUGGAGGUGAUGAUGAAAGAAAUUGGCUGGCUCAGAGUCGGGUGGGAGCUAACAGAGAGAGUUUGAUGAAGACGCGGCUCGGCCUGGCCCUGGGACCCUGGUGAGCCGGCAGCACGCUGGGAGCAGAACAGGAGGUCACCCCGCCACCCAGGACAUGACCUCGUCUGAUGACGCCACUCUGGGCCCCUCCGGACUUUGAGGGCCUGAAGAGAAGCGGCAAACCCAGGUCCUGCCAUGGCGUAGACUGCGGAUGGCCCGAACUUCUCCCAGGCACGCAGGAACAGGGACAUGCAGGAAGAAGACACUCACCUCCCAGGGCGUGUUCGGUCAUACUGAGGCACAACGACUCCAGCCUGUUGUUGAUAUCAGGUUCCAGUAUCGCCUCUCAUGAGCAGGAGGCAGCGCCUGGGAGCCCCCUCCUCUCACCUGCUGGAGCCCUCGCUGUCAGCACCUCCGCAGGCCUCAUCAGGCGGCACCCCUGAAUGUCCUUAACUAGCUGGAAGCGCCUUGUGGACAGUGAUGCUGCCGCCCUAUCUCCCUGAGUCUCCCGCAGCGUCCAGCCCCAGCCUUCGCCUCAUACAUGUCUACCAAGCAAAGAAAAGAGCAAGAGCUAAUUCAGAGGCAGAGGUUGCUUCCGUUAUUUAAAAAUCUCAAAGAGAAGGCUGGCCAAAGGGAAGGCUAUGGAAAGCACCGGGAGCUGAGUGUGUUCUUCCUGACCCACGUUCCAGCAUCGAUGGGUUCAGAAGGCAGCCAUGCCAAUUCGUGAGCAGACAGAGGCCGACCGAGCUUCCAGGCAAGUGGGGUGCCACAGAGAAUGACGGGCAUUUGCACCACCCCCACCCACUAGUUGCU